rnacentral:rRNA from 1 species
GAUGAACGCUGGCGGCGUGCCUAAUACAUGCAAGUCGAGCGAACAGACGAGGAGCUUGCUCCUCUGACGUUAGCGGCGGACGGGUGAGUAACACGUGGAUAACCUACCUAUAAGACUGGGAUAACUUCGGGAAACCGGAGCUAAUACCGGAUAAUAUAUUGAACCGCAUGGUUCAAUAGUGAAAGACGGUUUUGCUGUCACUUAUAGAUGGAUCCGCGCCGCAUUAGCUAGUUGGUAAGGUAACGGCUUACCAAGGCAACGAUUCGUAGCCGACCUGAGAGGGUGAUCGGCCACACUGGAACUGAGACACGGUCCAGACUCCUACGGGAGGCAGCAGUAGGGAAUCUUCCGCAAUGGGCGAAAGCCUGACGGAGCAACGCCGCGUGAGUGAUGAAGGUCUUCGGAUCGUAAAACUCUGUUAUUAGGGAAGAACAAAUGUGUAAGUAAAUAUGCACGUCUUGACGGUACCUAAUCAGAAAGCAACGGCUAACUACGUG